UGGGGAAUUUUGGACAAUGGGCGCAAGCCUGGUCCAGCAAUGCCGCGUGCAGGAUGAAGGCCUUCGGGUUGUAAACUGCUUUUGUACGGAACGAAACGGCUCUGGUUAAUACCUGGGGCUAAUGACGGUACCGUAAGAAUAAGCACCGGCUAACUACGUGCCAGCAGCCGCGGUAAUACGUAGGGUGCGAGCGUUAAUCGGAAUUACUGGGCGUAAAGCGUGCGCAGGCGGUUAUAUAAGACAGAUGUGAAAUCCCCGGGCUCAACCUGGGAACUGCAUUUGUGACUGUAUAGCUAGAGUACGGCAGAGGGGGAUGGAAUUCCGCGUGUAGCAGUGAAAUGCGUAGAUAUGCGGAGGAACACCGAUGGCGAAGGCAAUCCCCUGGGCCUGUACUGACGCUCAUGCACGAAAGCGUGGGGAGCAAACA
rnacentral:rRNA from 1 species